rnacentral:rRNA from 1 species
UACGGGGGGAGCAAGCGUUGUUCGGAUUUACUGGGCGUAAAGCGCGCGUAGGCGGCUUUUCAAGUCGAUUGUGAAAUCCCCGGGCUUAACCUGGGAACUGCAGUCGAGACUGUCUAGCUAGAGUAUGGGAGAGGGAAGUGGAAUUUCAGGUGUAGCGGUGAAAUGCGUAGAUAUCUGAAGGAACACCGGUGGCGAAGGCGGCUUCCUGGACCGACACUGACGCUGAGGCGCGAAAGCUAGGGGAGCAAACGGG